CAGUGGGGAAUCUUGCGCAAUGGGCGAAAGCCUGACGCAGCGACGCCGCGUGAGGGAAGAAGGCCUUCGGGUUGUAAACCUCUUUCAGAGGGACGAAGCUACUCGGGUGAAUAGCCCAGAGGGUGACGGUACCUCCAGAAGAAGCCCCGGCUAACUACGUGCCAGCAGCCGCGGUAAUACGUAGGGGGCAAGCGUUGUCCGGAUUUACUGGGCGUAAAGAGCGUGUAGGCGGCCAACAGGUCCGUUGUGAAAACUGGAGGCUCAACCUCCAGACGUCGACGGAAACCGUAUGGCUAGAGUCCGGAAGAGGAGAGUGGAAUUCCUGGUGUAGCGGUGAAAUGCGCAGAUAUCAGGAAGAACACCUAUGGCGAAGGCAGCUCUCUGGGACGGUACUGACGCUGAGACGCGAAAGCGUGGGGAGCGAACAGGAUUAGAUACCCUGGUAGUCCACGCCGUAAACGAUGGGUGCUAGGUGUGGGAGGUGUCAACUCCUUCCGUGCCGUAG
rnacentral:rRNA from 1 species